UACGUAGGUGGCAAGCGUUGUCCGGAAUUAUUGGGCGUAAAGCGCGUGUAGGCGGCCAUCUAAGUCGGGCGUGAAAUCCCACGGCUCAACCGUGGAAGUGCACUCGAAACUGGAUGGCUAGAGUCCUGGAGAGGAAGGUGGAAUGCUUGGUGUAGAGGUGAAAUUCGUAGAUAUCAAGCGGAACACCGGUGGCGAAGGCGGCCUUCUGGACAGUGACUGACGCUGAGACGCGAAAGCGUGGGGAGCAAACAGG
rnacentral:rRNA from 1 species